rnacentral:rRNA from 1 species
CCCUUAGAUGUUCUGGGCCGCACGCGCGCUACACUGAUUCAUGCAACAAGUUUUGUCCUUGGCUGAUAGGCCUGGGCAAUCUUUGAACGUGAAUCGUGAUGGGGAUAGAUGAUUGCAAUUAUUCAUCUUCAACGAGGAAUUCCUAGUAAACGCAAGUCAUCAGCUUGCAUUGAUUACGUCCCUGCCCUUUGUACACACCGCCCGUCGCACCUACCGAUUUCGAGUGGUUCGGUGAACCUUUCGGACCGGCAAUGCCUCGUGUUGCGCCGGAAAGUCAAGUAAACCAUAUCACUUAGAGGAAGGAGAAGUCGUAACA